rnacentral:tRNA from 1 species
GGCAUGGUGGCCAAGUGGUAAGGCGUCGGUCUCGUAAACCGAAGGGCAUGGGUUCAAGUCCCGUCCGUGCCU